rnacentral:rRNA from 1 species
GUUUAUGGCCAUGCCACCCUGAACAACCCCGAUCCCGUCUGAUCGGGCUCAGAAGCUAAGCAGGGUCGGAUCUGGUUAGUACUUGGAUGGGAGACCACCUAGGAAGACCAGGUGCUGUAAACA